GGAUGGAUCAACGCCGCCAAGUGGGGAAAGCGUGAACGCAGUCCCCCACUACAACUAAUUAUGCAGUCGAGUUUUCCACAUUUGGGAAUAUCUCAGGGGUCAGCACAUCCGGAGUGCAAUCGAUGAGCCUCACGCUGGGAAAAACCACCUUCGUGAUCAUGGUAUCUUCCCUGCCAGAGAGAAACCAAUCAGCUUCAUUUUCAACUUCUUCUAUGACUCCAGAGGAUUCACUUUGCAUCUUGUGACAAAUGAAUAUAUUACCUGAAAAAAAAAUGACAGGAUAGAUGAGUUGCUGCACAGGGGGAAAGCGAAGUUCCCAGGAGUAAGAUGUGCAAGAAGGGGGCAGCCUUGCAUCUCAGGGCUGAGUUCCCUCAACUGUGUGCUUGAGGGAAGUUCUCCCCUUGCAGACACACUGCUGAGUGAUAAGGAAGCGCCUAGACUCCACUCUGACCAGACUUGGUUCUGAGGCCUAUGAAAUGUUGAUGGGAAGAACAGAAGCAGGAAAAUCUAUCUAUUCAAAUUUGCAAGACGUGGAAACUUUUAUUCACCUUCCUGGUUAGACUGUUCCUUUGUCAAAGUAAAGCUAAGGCCAUGGAAAAUGAGCUAUUUGAGAGUCUGUCGCUCCAAGGAAGAACAUGCUGGCCUAAUUGUCCCCCAAGUCAGGAGAGAGAAUUGUAAAAAACACUUAAACAGGCCUAAGUAAAGGUCCAGCACAUUAUUUAUUUAAGACUGAAUUAGGACUGAGUCAUUCUGACUCUGAAAAAAGAGUGUUGUUGGAUUCUUAUGUAUUUAGUGGGUCUGCCCUAUUGAAAACCAUUGUGAAGUAUGGUUUCCCAAGCAAGAAAUGACACUUUCACUGUCAGUCUUUCUAGGAGUCUGGCAGAAUCCAGGACCGGGAUUACCCUUAUUUAUGAAGCGACCUUAGACUAACAGUGGCUCUCUGGGUCUCCAGACAAUUGGCCAGGGACUCUAAAAACCAGAAACAAAGUUGAGAGAACUCCAUGCUGGUGGAGAAAAACAGCUGGCCUUUAUCACCAGAAUGUGCCCCAUAGAAGCAGCAAAGCAGCAAGCGACGUUCUUAAACAAGGGCCUGUGGGCCUCGUCAAGAUCUGGAGGAAUCAUCUACGACUCACUGCUGAGUGAGAGGGCUAGGCAGUGUCUUUAAGGUCCUGCCAGCUUUAACAUUGUAUGCUUUUUCUUUUGUUCAAUCUCUCACCACAACUGGAAGUGUUGCCUCAACUACACAGGAGAAAGUUUGCAGUAACUUAGAGAAAACAUUAUUUUAAUCACCAGUGUAUGUUCUCCUGCUCCCUGGACAAAUCCAUCAGCAGCGGCAACACUGACCAGGUCCAGAUUGGGGCCGCUGCGGUGGAUGUGAAUCCAUUGAAACUAGGGGUCUCCAGUGCUCCUGA
rnacentral:antisense_RNA from 1 species